UACGAAGGGGGCUAGCGUUGCUCGGAAUCACCGGGCGUAAAGGGUGCGUAGGCGGGCCUUUAAGUCAGGGGUGAAAUCCUGGAGCUCAACUCCAGAACUGCCUUUGAUACUGAGGAUCUUGAGUUCGGGAGAGGUGAGUGGAACUGCGAGUGUAGAGGUGAAAUUCGUAGAUAUUCGCAAGAACACCAGUGGCGAAGGCGGCUCACUGGCCCGAUACUGACGCUGAGGCACGAAAGCGUGGGGAGCAAACAGG
rnacentral:rRNA from 1 species